rnacentral:sRNA from 1 species
GUGUGUAUAGACCAUCGAUGCCAGCGUGUGGAUCUCCUGGGGGCACAGGAAUGUCGAAGCAAAUGCCAUGGACAUGGGGUCUGUGACAGCAACAGGCACUGCUACUGUGAGGAGGGCUGGGCACCCCCUGACUGCACCACUCAGCUCAAAGCAACCAGCUCCCUGACCACAGGGCUGCUCCUCAGCCUCCUGGUCUUAUUGGUCCUGGUGAUGCUUGGUGCCAGCUACUGGUACCGUGCCCGCCUGCACCAGCGACUCUGCCAGCUCAAGGGACCCACCUGCCAGUACAGUCUCAGGGGCCAGCCAAGCCCCCACCCCCAAGGAAGCCAUUGCCUGCCGACCCCCAGGGCCGGUGCCCAUCGGGUGACCUGCCCGGCCCAGGGGCUGGAAUCCCGCCCCUAGUGGUACCCUCCAGACCAGCGCCACCGCCCCCGACAGUGUCCUCGCUCUACCUCUGACCUCUCCGGAGGUUCCGCUGCCUCCAAGCCGGACUUAGGGCUUCAAGAGGCGGGCGUGCCCUCUGGAGUCCCCUACCAUGACUGAAGGCGCCAGAGACUGGCGGUGUCUUAAGGCUCCGGGCACCGCCACGCGCUGUCAAGCAACACUCUGCGGACCUGCCGGCGUAGUUGCAGCGGGGGCUUGGGGAGGGGCUGGGGGUUGGACGGGAUUGAGGAAGGUCCGCACAGCCUGUCUCUGCUCAGCUGCAAUAAACGUGACAUCUUGGGAGCGUU